GGCAUGCCUCAUACAUGCAAGUCGAACGAGGUCUUCGGACCUAGUGGCGCACGGGUGAGUAACAUGUGGGAAUCUGCCUGAAGGUUCGGAAUAACUGCGGGAAACUGUAGCUAAUACCGGAUGUGUCUGCAAAGAGAAAGAUUUAUCGCCUUCAGAUGAGCCCGCACUAGAUUAGCUAGUUGGUGAGGUAACUGCUCCACCAAGGCUACGAUCUAUAGCUGAUUUGAGAGGAUGAUCAGCCACACUGGGACUGAGACACGGCCCAGACUCCUACGGGAGGCAGCAGUAGGGAAUAUUGGACAAUGGGGGAAACCCUGAUCCAGCAAUGCCGCGUGAGUGAAGAAGGCCUUAGGGUUGUAAAACUCUUUCAUCAAUGAUGAUAAUGACAUUAGUUGAAGAAGAAGCUCCGGCUAACUUCGUGCCAGCAGCCGCGGUAAUACGAAGGGGGCUAGCGUUGUUCGGAAUCACUGGGCGUAAAGCGUAUGUAGGCGGAUCAAAAAGUUAGAUGUGAAAUCCCUGGGCUCAACCCAGGAACUGCAUUUAAAACUAGUGAUCUAGAAAUUGGUAAAGGUUAGUAGAAUUUCCAGUGUAGAGGUGAAAUUCGUAGAUAUUGGAAAGAAUACCAGAAGCGAAGGCGACUAACUAGGCCAUUUUUGACGCUGAGAUACGAAAGCGUGGGUAGCAAACAGGAUUAGAUACCCUGGUAGUCCACGCAGUAAACGAUGAGUGCUAGUCGCUGGGACAAUAGUUUCAGUGUCGAAGCUAACGCAUUAAGCACUCCGCCU
rnacentral:rRNA from 1 species